rnacentral:rRNA from 1 species
GUGAGGAAUCUUGCACAAUGGGGGCAACCCUGAUGCAGCGACGCCGCGUGGGCGAGGAAGGCCUUCGGGUCGUAAAGCCCUUUUCUGCGUGACGAGGAAGGACGGUAGCGCAGGAAGAAGCGUCGGCUAACUACGUGCCAGCAGCCGCGGUAAAACGUAGGACGCAAGCGUUAUCCGGAGUUACUGGGCGUAAAGGGCGUGCAGGCGGCGGUUCAAGUGGCUCGUGAAAGGCCCCGGCUCAACCGGGGGAGGUCGGGUCAGACUGAAGCGCUAGAGGACGUUAGAGGGACACGGAAUUCCGGGUGUAGUGGUGAAAUGCGUAGAGAUCCGGAGGAACACCAGUGGCGCAGGCGGUGUCCUGGGGCGUACCUGACGCUGAGACGCGAAAGCAUGGGGAGCGAACGGGAUUAGAAACCCUUGUAGUCC